CUCUGGCCUCUGGAAGGAGCAAGGCCGCGGUGUGGUAGCCCCAGCUCUCCCCUUCCUCCCCUGAGCACUGAAGAGCAAGAAGAAGGGAGUCGGCGGUGCAGCAGCCCCAGCUUCACAGCACUGGGGAAAGAGGAGGGGGAGGAAAGGAGGGAGGGGGGAGGCAGGUGGGAUGCAGAGUUACAUGAUGAUGUAAUUCUGUCAUCCCGCAGGAAGAACAUUUUUUAUAUAUGGACAACGUGGUGAAUGUGUUUUGCUAUUUGUUUUCCAAAUUACAGAAAUGCUAGGCCCAUGGUGAAGGGGAAACGGACCAUACGAGUUGCCAUACUGCAUCAGACCAGAGGGCUAUCGAGCCCAGUGUCCUGUCUGCCAACAGUGGAGGAUGCCAGAUCCCCCUUAGGGAAUGAACAGAACAGAAGCAUCAAGGUGUUUCAGUUUAUGGAAAGAAGGAUACAUUGUGAAGAUGAAUCUUGGGGUGGAACUGUGCUGGCAAGAAUCAACUUAGCUCUCUGUUGUGAUCUAUUUAUAAAUCCAUCACUGGCUUCCAUUGCCCACUGGGAAGUGUCCAUUCUUCUAGUAGUCCCAGUGGGUGCUCCUCUAUCGGUGUGUCUGCAUCCCCACACCUCUGAUCAACCUGAGCACCCGCAGUGGGACACAUCUUGCAGGGCCAUUGUUGCUGCACCAUGUGAGUAACUUCUUUUUCUUCCAGUGACACGAAUUACCUGUGUAAGUCUCAGUAACGGAUGGUUUAUUCCCCACAGAGCCAAAAUACAACAGAUCCAGAGAAUACAUCACUGUGCAACGUACAGGAAUGAUACUAUCCAGAUGGAGG